rnacentral:tRNA from 1 species
GGCGGUGUAGCUCAGUGGUUAGAGCAGUGGCUUCAUAAGCCACGUGUCGGGGGUUCAAGUCCCUCCACCGCUA